GAAAAUUCUGGAGAAAUCAACCUUGUCGAACCUCUCUUUCAAAUCAUUCUACACAAUACUGGUAUUAGUGGAGUAAACGAUUUCACUGAGUAGUUCUGGUGAAACACAAUUCAUUAUCCAUGACAACACUAUCGCGUUGCAUCUGUACCAUAGAUCUACUAGAUUAUGACCAUAAUUCUCACGUUUGCAGUUGCCAUCUAUGAACCCUAACUUAUUUCGUCCUAAGUUGGCAAUCUUCAUAGCACGACUCCCCACAAAGUAAUUCUCUGGACCUCUAAGCUGCAAGAUAUCAAAAUUGUUCCUGAAUUAUCAUUAGCAUUCAGAAACAAAGGGUGAUUAUGACUUAAUUUUUCUGGAGCUUCGUUAUCAACUUCCGCCAUUGAUGAGCUCACACGAUCACUGUGAUUGAUCGAUUAAUUUUCUGUGGUAGGCUCUGAUAUCAUGUCAAAUAAUUUGAUACAGUAAAACAAAGAGAACUAGAAUUGAAGAAGAAGAAAAC
rnacentral:lncRNA from 1 species